rnacentral:lncRNA from 1 species
UUUUUUUUUUUUUUUUUUUAUGGGCCACACCCACGGCAUAUGGAAGUUCCCAGGCUAGGAGUAGAAUCGGAGCUGCAGAUGCCAGCCUACACCGUAGGCACAGCCAAGCAGGAUCCAAGCCACGUCUGUGACCUACAUCACAGCUUACUGCAAACCCCAGAUAUUCAAUGCACUGAGCGAGACCAGGGACGGAACCCGCAUCCUCAUGAAUACUAGUUGGGUUUGUUACUGCUGAGCAACAACGGGAACUCCCAGAAGCAGAGAUUUUUUGGAGAGCAUCCCUGCCUGCUGGUGCACUGGGUCCUUUCCACGUCUCUGAAAAUUACCAAAGGGCAUUCCUCAAGGAGGAAGGCAAUCUUGGGAGGAAGAUUUUCCUCCCAAUCAACAAGUGGUUGGUGACUGAAGGCAAUACUACAAGAUAACUAUUUACUCAGUUGAUUUAAUUAUGAUUGCUGAGUUGUAACAAUGUCAAGUUUUAUAUAUACUUAUAUAUACUACAUUCAUAUAUUUUGUAUACAUUAUAUAUAAUAUAUACAUACACACACCUGUAAGUGCUGUCUAAUUAGCACUUACUAAACUCAAAUUCUGACCGUCACUAAAGCACAAGGUAAGUGUUUUUACUAAGACUCUCAUCUACGUCUUGUCUCUCAGGAUAUUAUCAAUUAUGUCCAUAUUCUGCUGAAAGCAUUAACCUUAUCUCCAUUUAGCUAUCAGAGAUGGAAAUUAAAAAAAAAAAAUCCUAAGGAAAAAGAAUGAGUCAUAACAUGCAAGGCAAAUGAGUGAAUUUUAUAAAAGGCAACAAUAAAAAAGAAUAUAAUUCCUUUGGCAUGCCAUAAGAAGACUCUUCCUGAAGAUUAUGCGUUUUAACCACGCCCUACCCAAUCAUCCAAUCGUUCAUUCAACAAAUAUUUGUUGUGCAUUCAUUAUUCCUUCAUUCAACCAAUUCCUCAAGCAUGCUCUGCAUGUGUGCCUCCUCCCAGGUGUGGGAGGUCGAGAUCACUGGAUUUAACAUGUGGCCGAGCAGCAGUGCCAGUGGAGACAGAUGACAUAACUGGCACACACUAUUCAGAGCACAUGCGCUCCAGGAACCCCAUGAGCCCUCAGACUGGUUCUUACUAGUCUGGGGCAGGAGAAGAACAGACAUUGAGAAUAUGUCUUAAGACCCUUCUCAUAGAUUUGACACUGUAAUUUUAUGUCUGGUAACUCUCAUAAUUAAAAGGGACUUGUGUUUCUUCGUAUUUUUUUUAAAAAAUUCUAUCUUAUAAAAGUAUUGAUCCACUAUAGACUGAGGCAGGGAAAGACCAAGAACCCUGCUUAAGGAAAGGGAAAGUGGCCAAGAACCUAGGAGAGAGCGAGCAAGACGAGGAGCACUCUUGCAGCCAGGGAAGCAGGGAGCAACCUCAAAGGGCUUCCUGGAGGUAGUGGCAUUGGACCAAAGCCUGAAAGGACAGAGUAGAAUCUAGGAGAAAAGGCCUUUGGAGGCAAAGCAAAAGGCUAAGGCAGGAAGUAUAGGGUUCAUACAGGGUACAGCAGGUAGGUACAUCUUUUUAAAGCAAAGAGGGAAUAAUAAUGAUAAUCGUGGCAAGUAUGCGUGGAACAUGUGCUGUGACUCGGGUUCUGUGCUGAGACUACAGUGGGAUUUCUCUCCUUUGUUCCUCCCAUGCAGGGACACUGAUUUGUAAAAAAUGGUUCCCAGAUGCCACUGACAGAUAGACACCAAGUCCUCUGCCUCCUGCUGGACGAGCGUGGGGCCUCACUGAGACUGAGUUGGGUUGGUACGUGUUCUCUUCAAAUGAAGUAAAAGCUGUCUCAAUGGUCCUUCUGGAACAGUGAUGUGAGCCCAAGCAUGAACGGGCAGGUAAGCAACAAGCAUGGGUUUUCCCAGGUCCAGCAAGGUCUCCAAUGCUUCACAACUGUUCAGUGACCUGGGGAACGCUCCCGUGAGCUGGCUGCAUCUGGCCUCUGCUAUGGUUACCACCUCAUAUUGCUAAGGUUGUGUGCCAGGGGCUAGGUAAAUAGACACUUUUAUCUGCUCUUCAAAGGUGUGUGUUCUGCUUCUCCUAGUUAGUGAAAAGCCAAGUGCAGCAUUUCUGUACUAAAUGUGAAGUGAUCUGUAGAGAUGAUAAGAACUCAAGCCUUGAGGCCUCCAGAGAGGCAAGAAGAGAACCUGGCCUAGCAGGUGGGACCCAGAAGACAGAUGGAGGCCCUGAUUCCUGAGUCCAGGAUGUGGACUUGGCACAAAAGACGGUAGGGAGUUAAUGCAGGUAGACGGAGUCUAAAAAUCCUAUGGGAGACUCUCUGCCUCCACAAAGAACAUUCUUGGGCACAGCAGGACAACACUGUGAGAAAUGAUCAAGUUACUCACAUGGCCCUAGGUCAUAGUCCUCUUGGGGAAAAAAGACUGAGCUGAAACAACACCGUCAGCUCUUCCUAAACCAGGUGCCUAUGAUACCCAAAGUCAUUCCCAAGUCUACAUUUUUCAGACAGCACUUUAAAAUGUCCAACUGGGGAAUUCCUGAGCCUACUUUAAAAAUUUUUAUACACAUUAAAUAUGAAACCUAACUUUUUUUUUUUUUGGACUUUUUGCCUUUUCUAAGGCUGCUCCCUCAUCAUAUGGAGGUUCCCAGGCCAAGAUAGUUUACUGUAUAAUUUAUGAUAAUGUUAAAUCUGUUUCUCAUAAAUGUUAAUGGUGCCACCAUUUUUUUUUCCAUAGAUGGGUAAUUCUCAGAAAAGCAGCUGGAUGUUAAAAGUUACAUAAAGAAAAAAAAAAAAAAAAAAAUGCCUCUGCCAACAAAUCCGAUUAAAACAAAAUAAAACUCCCCUAGGUUGCAGACACCAAGAUUCUAUUAAUGGCAGUCAGUCAUUCCAAAAUAAAGCCAUUCAAAAAUUCUGUUCUCCUGUUUUUCUAUCAUGAUUUCAUUAAGUUCACAUUCAGACUUCUCUCCACUUUAAUGGGUAGACAUCAAUAGAGAAAGCGUUCCUUACCUUAAUCCAGGUUCUUUCUAUUUCUAUAAAUUGCUGAAUUUCUUGUGCAUUAGUAUAAUACAGUAUGUCUAAGUGCCUCCUAAAGUAAAUUCUUUGCUUUUAAAAAUAUUUUACCUUCCAAGAUUCAAUAUUUUAGGUAAAAAUUCAAAAAUAUUUUACCUUUUCUCAUUGAUAGAAUUAGCAAACUUAAAUUUGAAAUAGAAAUGCCAUCACUUCAUAUUUUAUACCCUAUAGAAAUGUUUUGACUUCUAAAUACGUUUCAGGUAUGUUCUCUCAGACAUUGGGAAGCUGGAUUUUGAAAUCAUAUAAAUCUUUCAAAGUUACUCCCUGACAAAAGAAAAAGUCAAUUUCAAUUUAGCUACUGCACUGGGCUUCUGAAAUUACAAAUUUUGUAUUUUGAAGCACCUCAAAAUAAGAAUGCAGGUCUUCUAAAUUACUGACUGCAUAAAAAACAACAAACAAAAUGUAACCAAAAAAAGUUUUCAAAAUUCAACAAUAAAACAGCCACCAAAUCCUAUGGAAGAAUUAGGUUCAAUAUCCUCAAAUUGAUUGGUCUCAGGGUACCAAGGUUCUAGUCUCUCUUCUACUUGAUAAACUCUACAACCCUAUUCAUUCAUUCUUUCUAUCAGUCACUUUUUUUCUUUUUCAAUAGCCACAGCUGCAGCACAUGCAACUUCCCGGGCCAGGAUUGAAUCAAGCUGCAGCUACGACCUAUGCCUCAGCUGCAGCAAUGCCAGAUCCUUUAACCCGCUGAGCUGUGUUGGGGAUCGAAUCCCCACCCUGGCAGCAACACAAGCCGCUGCAGUCAGGUUCUUAACCCACUGCACCAUAGCAGGAACUCUCCAUCACUCAUUCUUUCAUUCAACUAAGACAUAGUGAACUUAACAGCAAGACACUGUGCUGGGCAUUGGUUUUAGAGAAAUGGUAGAAGAUAAUCUGUGCUUUCAAAGAGCCCUUCGUACGAGGGGAGAAAGAGACAGAUAAUCCUACGGUGUGGUGGGUAUGUUGAUAAAGACAGACAGAGAGUGUUAGGAAAAAAAUGGUGGGGGGAGGAGGGGUUUGUCAGGGUUUCAAGCUUUCUUCCAGAAAGUGAUGCCUCCACUGAGCCUUUAUACCUGCCCUGUCUUGGCUUCAUUGGCCUGUUGUGAGGCUCUUACGAGAUAAAGCCUGGGAAAGGGCCUUGUGAACUGAAACACAGAAGAGCAGGACUGGGAUUAUUUUCCAUGGUGAGAAAUAAAAAGCUGCAGAAUAAUGAAUGAGUUCUCUGGCAUCUCUGGCUAGUAAGGAAAACAUCCAAACGAUUUGGAAGAGGAUUUUUAAAAAUCCACUCUUGGCUGAUUUUCUCAAUCUCACUUUCAGAGUGAAAAUGCAAGGACUAUACAUCUCCAUUUCACAGGUGAGGAAAUGCAGGCACAGGACCUAGAUAGGUGGCCAAGACUGCCAAGGAGCAAAGGUCUGGGAGCUACUCAGGCUCGCAUGGCAGUGCUGGUGAAAGAUGGCGCUCUGCUUCCAUCAUGCUUCUCUCAAGGAGGACACUCUUCCUGCCAAAUACGGGAGGAGUUGAUUUCCUUAUCUUUUUUUUUUUUCUUCAUAAAAACACAUAAGAAAGUAAACAAAUAAAAUCCACACUAAAAACUCCCCAAAUAUCUUUGAAACAAUUUCUUCCACUUCCUUCCAAGGCAGAUCAAAUAGAGCAGGUAUUAAGACUCAGUUCAUCUUUCACUUGAGAUGAAAGUGGUCCUGACAAGCUUGCUGUAAGUGACCAUGAUAUGAACUUCAAGUAUAAGCAGAAAUUAAAAGAAGAACCUGAGGGUUCCCACUGUAGCUCAGUGGUAACGAACUCCACUAGUAUCCAUAAGGACAUGGAUUUGACCCCUGGCUGCGCUCAGUGGGUUAAAGAUCUGGCAUUGCCAAAAGCUGUGAUGUGGCUCGAUUCCU